UUUCGCUUUCAGUCGAGGGCUCGCGAGCGCAGCGGAGCCUGGAGAGAAGGCGCUGGGC
rnacentral:miRNA from 1 species